UACGUAGGGGGCGAGCGUUGUCCGGAUUUAUUGGGCGUAAAGAGCGUGUAGGCGGCCAGGUAGGUCUGCUGUGAAAACUCGAGGCUCAACCUCGAGAUGUCGGCGGAAACCAUCUGGCUAGAGUCCGGAAGAGGAAAGUGGAAUUCCCGGUGUAGCGGUGAAAUGCGCAGAUAUCAGGAGGAACACCAAUGGCGAAGGCAGCACUCUGGGACGUGACUGACGCUGAGACGCGAAAG
rnacentral:rRNA from 1 species